UAGGUGCCUCUGUUGAAGAAUAAAGAAGCGGCUUUUUCAAAUUGAUUCCAUGAAGUGUUGAUUCCUUCAGACUGCUUCCAAUUCAAAAUGCGAGUUUGUCAGAUAAGCAUAAUAAUUAAGAUCCAUCCAACAUUUGGCAUUACAACUGCUCGACGAAUACAACAUACAAGGAAUACUUGCAAAGCAAAUAAGUGGCAGAAUAUUUUUUUCAUCAAACAUUUAUUGUGACACAUUAAGACAUUAAGACGUUGAAAAAAUGAUAAGACAUAAUAAUAAAAAGUGGGAAAAAUUCAACUUUUUAAAAAAGCACAAUAAUGAAAAGAUAAGCUUCUUUUUCUUCUUCUUUUGCAAUGCCCAACUUACUUCUAUCGGCUGCUACCGUAAAUUUCAUUAAAUGCAAUACUCAUACCUGCAAUUUUCAUUGGUUUCAUACUUUUAUGAAAUAAACGACUAUUUUAUAGCCACCAUUUACCAAGUAAAAAAUAUUAGCUUACAGCUAAACAAAUAGAAAAAAAGGAUGGCGGCGAAUUGGAAAAAGAAAUUGCACGAAAUAUUUGUGCAUUAUAAUUAGCAUCCGCGAAAUGAAAGAGAAACUUAGCCCACACACAACGGAACCAAGGAAUGCCCUUCAGGUUUUAGGCAGAAUUCUACAAUUUUUUGCUACGUUAUGAAAAUGCUGUCAGGUCAACAACACCUUCUCUCUCUAUAUAGUCUAUAUAUAAAACACAAUUGCGAAAGGCGUGAAAGGGAUGUAUUAAUAACAGUCCAGAGAGGUGUUGCGGUACACUCACGGGCACUCACGGACUAGACUAGAAUUUCAACAAAAAAAAAUGUCGUGAAUGUAGGA